GCCGUUUUACCUGUGUAGUGGUUAGUACUCCACGUUGUGGCCGUGGCGACGCUGGUUCGAUUCCAGCAGCAGGCA
rnacentral:tRNA from 1 species